AGUUUCUGAUGUACAGCAAAGUGAUUCAGAUAUAUAUAUGUAUAUUCUUUUUUAGAUUUUUUUCAAAGUAUAUGUUAUUAUAGGAUAUUGAAAAUCACUGUGCUAUAUAGUAGGACCUUGUUAUUUAUCUAUUUUACAUGUAGUAGUGUAUAUCUGUUAACCCAAGCUCCUAAUUUAUCUGUCUCUCCAAGGCUAUACUGUUGAACAGAGUGAAAUUACAUUGAUAUAUUAACUACAAUGUGGGAGGCAUUUUUUUUUGACACUUUAGAAAAACCUUUUCUUCCUAAAGUAAUUUUCAAAGGUUGCAUGACCUUACACAUUUUAAAAUAGCUUCUGUUUUCUAUCCUGUUGCUACUAUGCACUAUGCAAGAUGUGGUGCAACAUUAUUCACUUUAUUUUGAAUUUGUUGCAUGUGCCCAUGGAGACAUUUACUAGUUUCUACUCUCAAAAACUUCCAAAAGAGAUUAUGUUUACCCUUUUAAUAGAGAAAGUGAAAAAGUAGUGUUCAGUUAACUCAGGUGAUUGUAUAGAUAUGUUUUCUUUUGGGAGGGGAAAAUUAGAUAAGCCUCACAAUAAGUAGAUUUAUAUAUUUUUUUAUUUUUAAUUAAUUUGGGAAAAUGGAAUUAAUCAUUUUGUAUGCUAAUAGAGGUCACAGAGCAGUCAAUACCAAUGUCUGAUGAUUCACACCAGUCCUUUCAUUCUGUAACCUUUUAAAAGACAUUUAUUAACUUUUGCAGGAUAUUUUUCUAUGGGAUGUGAGAAAGGUCUGUCAUAUGGAACAAACUCAAAGAAAGAUAUUAACUUGUGUGGGAUUGAACAGCACAAAAUCAAUGGUCCAUUACUCUGAAUGGCAGCUGCAGGUCAGCAAAUAACUAUAAUGAAGAAAUGAUCUUUUUAUGAUAAUAGGAUCCUAUAAGUCUUAAAAAGCUGAUUCAGCAAUCACAUGGAUCAUGUGCCAGCUAAACUGAAAAAUAGAAGUUGUAAAAAAGUGAAAAAUUGAAGCAUGGUAUAACCACAAUUUGGAAUACCAUAGAGUCAUUAAAAAUUGUAAUAUUGAAGGAUUCUGUGAAUAUAGGAACUUACAAUAUGGUGGCAGGUAAAUAGACUACAUGAUCGUUUGUAUAAUAUGGUAUAGUUUUAAAAAUAUAUAUCUCUUAUUUGCACAUAAAAAUAUUGAGAGCUUAUGCUUGAGAGAUGGUACAUUUCUUAAGGCCAUUGUAGUAACUUUACUAAAUUUUACUGAGUCAGUUGUUGGCUGGGAGGUAAUCAGAGUGGUGAGGAGCUAUUCCACGUAGUCUUUCAAGGAUUCAGGCUGACGUGGUUUCCACCAUCUUUACCUCAGAGUUUCCAGUGUACCCUGGACAUUGAUAGUCAAUUGGCAGAUGAGAAAAGAGGGAAAGUGGGAGAUCUCUGGAGAGUUUUAUGGGCCAGACUAAGAGUGGAGCAAAUAUAUCUCCCACGUUGGCCAGAACUCAGUGCUAUGGCUUAUCUAAUUGUAAUGAGAAUAGGAAGUGUGGUUUGCCUGUAUGCCCAGGAGAAUAACAGUUUUGAUAUAUAUAGAGCAGUUUCUGUCUCAGGUAAGAUCCUGGGUAAUACAUAGAGUCAUCCUCAUGCUUUAUUCUGUUUUCAAGUGAUCACUGGAUUUCCAUGUUGUCUCCGCUUAAGUCAGAGAGCAACAUAUGUAAUGUUAUCACUUUAUUUUGUACCAAUUCUCAUAACUGUUGCCACCACCAGAACUUGAGGCAAGAAGCAGGGUCCUAUAUGAAGGGACUAAGGUAGACUCUACCUAGAAUCAGCUUUUUAAUAUCACAUUGGCCCACUCACACUCUGUUGUGUCAACUAUUAUAUCAUUGUGAGUCAGUCUGGACACCUUACCAUUAAUUCCUUCAGCAUUGUAAACUGCAAACCGUCAUAAUGAAUGACCACAAAAAUAAAAUAGCGAAUUACAGCCACACAAAUUUUAUGUACUUGGAAUUUAGUGCAUAGCAGAUGCUAGAGGAAUGGUCCUUGACUUACUGAUAGUCUAUAUUUUUCAGAGUGGUGUUCUUUCUUGUCUAUAAGCUGAUGAACCCCUAGAAGGCAGAGACAGUCCCUCAUUCUAUAAAUCUCUGUUGGUAUGUGUUAGUUUAAUUAGUUUUUAGUCUCCUUCUGCCAUAUGAUGGGGAAUAUACCAGCUAAUGUGGUUAAGGCCAAGUGGGAAGAUCUCUGGGUUUAGAGGUAGAAGCUAAGCUUGGGAAAGAGUCAGCUUUCUGACAGGUCCAUGAACACAGUGGCCUUCACUAAAUCUUUUUUGGGUAAUUUAGGCAAGUAAUUUCCCUGUUCAUGACUUCUCUGUCUAUAAAAUGAAGAUAAUACUUGCACCUGUUCUAUCUCUGGUAUCCCCGUGAAGAUCAAAGUAUUCUCAGUUUUUACUUAUAAAUAUAAAGGAUGUAUGUGACCUAUUCAGACUUGAGAAAUAUGGGCUUCUACUGUAUUCAAUAAAUUCUGCUGGGUAGUCUUCAUUUAUCUUUCUAGAUCCAUUCUUUAGUCUUCUCCAUUCUUCUCUGUUAACUACGAGGCUGAUCUCUAUGUAUUAUUAUUAGCAAGGCACUCCUGACCUAUGGAUUAAGCCAAAGGGAAGUACCAACAAAAGAGUCAAUGGCUGGAAGAAAGAGAAUUUGGAGUAUUUACUCCUGAGCUUCUUUUUUGCAGGGUUGUGGGCUAACAGUGGUUGUGUUCUUCUACCAAAGGCCAUAAUUCUAGCCUGGUAGGUGUCUCCUAUAGUAACAGCUUUUCCCAGGUUCCUGUAAUGGUUUUUCUUCCUUGCUCUUUGAAGCCUAGCGGUGGUAGUAUCUGGAUUGCUAACCUUUGGGUGUUUUUUUAUUUAUUUUUUUUUAUUUUUGCCUUUUCUAGGGCCACUCCCAUGGCAUAUGGAGGUUCCCAGGCUAGAGGUCUAAUCGGAGCUGUAGUCGCCAGCCUGCACCAGAGCCACAGCAACUUGGGAUCCAAGCUGCAUCUGCGACCUACACCACAGCUCACAGCAACGCUGGAUCCUUAACCCACUGAGCAAGGCCAGGGAUCGAACCUGCAACCUUAUGGUCUGUAGUCAGAUUUGUUAACCACUGCGCCAUGAUGGGAACUCCCUUUUGGGUGUUUUUAUAACUCCUUAUGGCUGCCUUUACCAUGCCCACACUUUUGUAAGUGGACCUUCAUUAAACUGAGGUUGCCAAGGGGGAGGGGAAAGAAGUGGGAUAGACAGAGAGUUUGGGUAGAUGCAAACUAUUGCAUUUGGAAUGGAUAAGCAAUAAGAUUCUACUGUUUAGCACAGGGAACUGUAUCCAGUCUCUUGGGAUAGAACAUGAAGAAGACAGUAUGAGAAAAAAACGUUUAUGUAUGUAUGACUUGGUCACUGUGCUGUACAGCAGAAAUUGAUGCAGCACUAAAAAUCAACUAUAUGCUAAUAAAAAUAAAAAUAAAAAUACAAAAAAAUAAAAUAAGGAGUUCUUGUUGUGGCUCACCAGGUUAAGAAUCCAGCUAGUAUCCUUGAAGAUGCAGGUUCCAUACUUGGCCCCACUCAGUGGGUUAAGGACCUGGUGUUGCCGUGAGCUGACGCAUAGGUCACAGACAAGGCUCGGAUCUGGUGUUGCUGUGGCUGUGCCAUAGGCUGGCAGCUGCAAUUCCAAUUGGACCCCUAGCCUGGGAACUUCCAUAUGCUGCAGGUG
rnacentral:lncRNA from 1 species